AUACGUGGUUUGGCUUCAUUAGGACAGUGUCAGCUUCCCUCUGCAUCUAUUACUGACAUUUCCAGGACCCACUGUCCUGCCUUCUGCCUCUCUUCUCCCAGGAAAAGAUCUUAAGAGGCUGUGAUGGCUGCUUUAUUGGCGGCUUAGGCUAUUUGAUGUUGCUGAUGAUGGAGCUGGAGGCUGGGCUGGACGAUGGUCCGAGGACAGCGACCACCCCCUUGGGGAGGAUCUGACACACUGCAGCCAGCGGCAGGGACAGGGAAAGAAGCAAAGCACUCAUCAGAUACAAAAUCAACAGAGAGAAAUUAAAGAGCAGAGUCAAGAUUCAACAGCUCCACCCAUUUCCCCAAAGACCGGCCCCUUAACCACUGCACCGCACAGCCAUCCCCAGCAAAUGGCAAUUAACUGGGAUGUUUG
rnacentral:lncRNA from 1 species